AUUGCAUAAUGCAGUAGCCACUGGAUUUGCAGCAGAAACACUCUGCUACAGAACAAGUGUCUUGGUUCACAGCAAAGAGGACAAAGAAAACAGCAAGUUUUAGGGGGUUGAAUCCUGGAUUCCCCUGGCAAACACCAUUCUACUUUCCGUCUCUAUGAAUUUGACUACUCGAAGUACCUCAUGUGAAAUGUUGGUGCCAAAUGAACUUUUCUGGUUCUUCUGAAUAGGAUGAAGAGAUCCUCCUAGCUUGGCGGAAUACUCUGCUCUGAUGGAAGUACCAUCCUGGUCCAAACAUGAAAGAAUUCCCAACAUCAAGAUUGAUUGAAACAUAUUCAAUGGAUCAUUUGCUCCAGAAGAAGCUGGUUGCCAUGUCUUGAGGACAGUAAACCCUCUGGGGAGGUUCCUGUGGUAAGGAACAAGGGCUCCUGGCAAUAGCCUCUGAGUGAGCCACCUUGAAAAUGGAUUGUCCAGCCCCAGUCAAGCUUUCAGAUGACUGUAGCUCCUGCCAAUGUCUUCACCACAACCUCAUGAGAUCCCAAGCUACAACCACUCAGAACUUCAUCUUUUGGGAAGCACCAGGGAGAGCUGCCUGUGCCUGGCAGAAGCUGCCCAUGCCCCACUGAUACCCCACAGUACUUCCUGUUCUGCUUAGUACUCCUGCUUCUUUCUACAAACAACUGUGAUUCUCUACCUGGGAGCUUCCUCUGGCCACAGGAGCCUGCUCACCUGAUUGGGACACCCUAGCAGUACUGGCUCAUAGAUGGAAGGGACUUGCCUUGUCGCUGAUGAGACUUUCGACUUGGACUUUUGAGUCAAUGCUGGAAUGAGUUAAGACUUUGGGGAACUGUUGGAAGGGUGUGAUUGUGUUUUGAAUUGUGAGGACAUGAGAUUUUGAAGAGGCUAAUGGCAGCGUCCCCACCUAAAUCUCUUCUUGAAUUGUAGUUCCCAUAAUCCCCACGUGUCGUGGGGUGGAGCCGGUGGAGAUAAUUGAAUCAUGGGAACACUUUCCCCCAUGCUGUUAUUGUGAUUGUGAAUUCUCACGAGAUCUGAUGGUUGUAUAAACGCCUUCCCUCUUCGCUGGGCACUCAUUUUUCUCCUUCCUGCCACCAUGUGAAGAAGGAUAUGCUUGCUUCUUGUGCCAUGAUUGUAAGUUUCCUGAGGCCUCCCCAGCCAUGCUGAACUACAAGAACACACUCAGAAAUUUUCUCAACACAGUUUCUAUGCAGAGAAGAGAUGUGGGACAGAUUUGAACUGCUGUCAUAUUUGUAUGAACCCAAGACAUUUUCCAAGACCAAGAGGGAUAAAGACAGCAAUUUCUAUGACUGGCAUUUUACGUGCAUGCACUGUUUCCAAGUGUUCUUGUGUUCUGUGCCUUAAACAUUCUGUGUUGCAACUUUAUGAAUUGAAUUAAAGAUAAUCCCAAGCCCCCAAUUGUCUCAAAAAGUGAAAAAGUAAAUGUUAUAGAAAGAAAAGCGGGAAAAACUUUAAGCAUGAAAUAAAAGAUGGGUUGUGAUAAAAGAGGACUGAAGAAGGAAAAGGAAUGAAAGGUUCUGCCAUCCUUCAUGGCAGCCCACUCCACUUGGGAAGAAGAGACUGGGUCACGGGAAUGCUUUAAUGUGGAAACCCUGAAUUCGUUCCACACAUCUGCCUUCUGGGGACACAGGUAAAUGAGGCCGAGUAGUGAAGUGGGAAGUUCCUGAAAAUGUGACAGCAAGCCUCUGUCCACUGCCAGACCGAAGACAGGGAGGCGCUCAUCGGCAAAUUAAUGGAUGUUAAAGGGAAGCAAAAUAACACCAAGAUAGACUCAUGAAUUACCCAGUGGCAGCACUCUUUGGUAGAGUGCAGUCUAAUUAAGUCUUUGAUAGAGUGCAGUCUAAUUAAGUAUUCAAAGAGCACAGAGUGAACAGACCUUCCUUCCUUGAGAUAUAAGCAUGUGUAUGUCUUCUAGCAAUUGUGAGGAGGAGAUGGAUAGAAGUGAAAAGUAAAAGGAAGAAUAUGGGAGAACUAAGGGGAGGAUAUUGAGUCACUGCAGAUUUAUACAAACAGCUCUAUUUUCUGUCUUGCUAAUGAAAAAAUUUACAUAAUGAAAUUUAAUUUUGCUGGGAAUUGAAGUAAAUUAAUUUGCCACAUCAAA
ensembl:lncRNA STXBP5-AS1 STXBP5 antisense RNA 1